rnacentral:rRNA from 1 species
GACGAACGCUGGCGGCGUGCUUAACACAUGCAAGUCGAACGGAAAGGCCCUGCUUUUGUGGGGUGAUCGAGUGGCGAACGGGUGAGUGACACGUGUGUAACCUACCCUUGACUUUGGGAUAACUUCAGGAAACUGGGGCUAAUACCGUAUCGGAUCUCAUGCUGCAUGGUGGGGGUUGGAACGUCUCUGCGGUUGUGGAUGGAUUGGCGGGUGAUCAGCUUGUUGGUGGGGUAGUGGUUUACCAAGUCAUGGACGGGUAGCCGGCCGGAGAGGGGGGCCGGCCUCAUGGGUACUAAGGGAGGGACCAGACUCCUACGUUGGGCAGCGGUGGGGAACCUUACACAGUGGUCGGGAGCCUGAGGCAGAGACGCUGCGUGCGUGAUGACCGUCUGCGGGGUGUGAACCGCUGUCGCUUAAGACGAAGCUUUUGUGACGGUAAUGGAUAAAUAAGCACCGGCUAACUACGUG